rnacentral:lncRNA from 1 species
CAGAGAUAGAGGCCACUCAAUCACACAAUGUCCUUUAGCUUACAGCAGGAGAAGGUCGUUCCUCCUGCCGCGCCGCACUUGAUUUUCACAACACAUCCCUUACAGCUGGGCAGAGCUAUGAUGAUGAAGCCAGGCGUGACGGGCUUCAAUGACCCUCUCUCACGUGAGUGUUUCCCAUGCCGCCUUUAUCGAGCUGAUGGUUCCUCCUGCUUGCCUACAUGUCCGUCCCUUUGGAUCUUUUGGAAGGCGAUGAAUGCAGUGAUGAGUGAAGGGAAGCAGGAGGCAGCUGCUGGAGAUGGAAGCAGAGUGCUGCACUGGGAAGCUCAAUGAGAAUUAGGUCAUUACCCAGGGCAAAUUCAAUAGAUGAUUAGAAAGAAAUGCAGAAAAAUGGGCUGCCCCCCCCUCCUCCUGAUACCACUGCUGCGACCCCACACAGGACUCACGCCUCUAAUGAAUAUUCUUGAGGGUCCCUGCUGAGUGUUCAUGAGAGAGACUUUGUAGCUGUCCUACAAGUCAGAGCUCAAAGGAAAUGAUAUAUCUGCGCAGUAUUAAGUUAUUUAAUGAAGUUCUUCAUGUUAUCUUCAAAAAAUAAAAUAAGUUAGGAGAAAAAAUUUACACAUUAAAAUGAAAAGUGUCUUUAAAAAAAAUUACCACAACUCACCUCACACAUAGACUGACAGCUUCUGCAAAGUUUUGCACAUUUAGGUACAAUAAUGUCUUUUAAAUUUAAACUUUAGCCUCUUUUCAGUUUGAAACAUGUUGCUUCCCAUAGCAACAGUCUCUUUCUUUCAGUCUUGCUUGACUGUGCUGGCUUCCUCGGCCAACUGAGAAAGAUCUGAGUAUUAACCUUUUUCUUUAUCCCACAAAAUACACAGGGAGUAGUUUAAUGAAGUAUAAGAACUAGGUUUAGCUAGUUUGCUGGUGGUGCCAAAAAUUGACUGAUGGAGUUGUUUACAUCAGUCCACAAACCCAAUAUUGUCAGAAAGUGUAAGUGAACAUACACUGUUUAUACAUACAUGGUUUUACUCAAAAUAAACUAAAACUUACCCUUCAUUAAAUGUUUGCCUCAAGAUUUGAUAAUGGCCGUUGUUUAGCUCCCUCAUCAGAAGCGCAUUAUCAUUCAUCCACAACUUCCUUCUCUCAGGGUUUUCGCUCUUUGAAGCACAACCUAGGCUUCCCCCUCAUCAGUUGUUGCAUCCAUAGAUAUGAAGAGUAGACACAACAUGCCCAUUUAAGCUGUGUGCCAACGUAGCAGCCAUCUUGGCGGGGGCAUCGUUCCAAUUAAAGGAAACACGUACAAUGAAAGUAAAGCAUUACUUGAUCAUUUCCUCAAAGUAAUAAUCACCAUAUUAAUCAUUUUGCACUGCAGAUGCGGUAGUUCUUCUGCCCUAGCGUCUCUGUCUGAUUGCAUUUCCAUGAAGAAAUGAUCAUAAAUGUUCUUCCUUGAGCUGCGUCACCCCGCUGCAGUCGGUGACGGACUUGUCCGAGGGCUCGCUACAAACAAGCAGCUGCUGGAAGAGAGUGGGUGAGUUGUGUUCAGUCUCUUUGCAAAAGAAAUCAGGCAAAGCUAAAAAGAUGUUUGGUGGCUAGUGCUGUGGUUGGGACCCUAUAUGAACUGUUGAUGAAGUUAGGUGCUGUUCUGAGCAUUAUUUGUGGCUGUAGAGUGACUUUUUGGUUGAGGUUUGUGCGUGGUCCUCAGACCGCUGUGUAUUGCUAUUGUGUGGUUGUUACAAAAGUUGGUGUAACUAGAGAAGCAAGCGGUCGGCAACAUUCCUCUCUUGAGGGGGUGUCUUACUCAGUGUUACUGUGUGUUUGACCCUAAAUUAAUUUUACGCUGGAAGAUCCCUUGAAAUGGGAACGUUGCCCCUGCCAAGAUGGCUGCCACGUAGGCAUGACGCUUAGCGGGCUGCUACUGUGUGCUGUUGUAUCUAGUCUUCUAUAUGUGGUUGCAUCCACUUGAACCACAACUGUCAGGCUGUUGGCAGCCUUUCUUGCUUGCCAGGUGGGCGGUUCUAUAAGUGCGUGACAUCAAGUAAAAUUAAUAAGCUCACAUUUUGUGCCAGAUUUUAUAAGCAUAACUGAUGACACUGCAGUAUAUGGUGGGGACAGCUGUACUCUGCUUGUUUUGCAAGUCCCCUGGUGUGGUUGUCAUUAGAGGGUUUAAGCUAUGACAAGCAGCACCCUAUCUCCCUCACUUGAAAAACUGCUUUACUGUAAUGAAAUCCCAAAGAGAUUUAAAUGAAAGUAUGACAUUCACUGAAGGCUAAACGGCAGUAAAUGUGAAACCAUACUUUGACCUUUACUAAUAGGCCACACCCUCCUGCAAAGUCACCAGUUGCUAUUGACAAAAAUGAUAUAAUACACUAUAUUCAAAUGUGAUUUAAACAAACAACAACUGUGACACAGUCUUUAAAAAGACAUUAAUAUCAAACUAGAGAAAAAAACGAGUUACUUUCCUGUUCAAUCAUUGGUUCAUAAUCUCGUAUUAUACAUUUAACCUUUGCUUUCAUGUUAUUACCAGCAUCACGACCACUGGGGAAUGCAAUGCAUACUAAUUAGAAACUUUGUCUUGUGUACAUUGUAAAAAACUCUCUCAGAGACACAGGACAAGUCAGUAAUCGGGUUACGCUAAUCCGUCCCUUCACCAGUGUAUCAGAAUGCUAAAUGAAAGCUUAGUUGAAUGACAAAGCUUUGAAAUUCACAAAUCUCUGGGAUUAAAUGACUUUCAAGAAUUAGACAGUUUGAGUGCAGGGAUGCAGGAUCUGCAAAUAUGGAUAUCCUUUUACUCUUAUAAAGAAUAUAAAAAGGCUGACAACAGUGGAAAAUGGAUUGAAAAACGCAGCGAGAAGCAAAGACAAAAAGACAUUGUGUCUUUUGCUGACUUUGUCACUUUAUAAAUGCACUAUGAGACGGGCAAUCUAUGAUAAUGGUAUUUCAGCAGCACUUGAUUGUCUGAAAUACUGUUAAAGGCAGAUAGGAUCUGUGGAGGAACAUUUACAUUGAAGUUUGCCAUUUUCUCCCGAGGGAUCGCCUAUGUGCCCAUAUGUGCCUAUGAUGCAAAUUUGUGGAACAGACAGUCUGUGUAGUCCGUGUUAAACUCACAUAUUACAUUUUCUUCCACAGAGUUCCUUCUCCUCUAGUGAGACAGUCUGAUUACAGGCUUGUAAAUCAAAUCCAGGAGAAGUAAAGAUAGAGUCUGCACGAAGGGUUUGUUUUCAUAUUAAACCAAGAAGACAGGGAGGGUGAGGGUGCCGUCACAUUUGGUAAACAACAAGGAAGUGAACCCAACUGCAGACAAAAUAAAGGUCUAUUGGACAAAAAAAUCAAAAAAGGCAAAACAAAGAAAAACUAAAUCAUGUCAUAGCUAAACCAAACUUACAAAAAAUGCUUAAAGGCACCUGAACAUGGAAUCUACUUUGUUAUAAAGUUCAGUUAAAGGACUCCUAGAUCCCCAGGUUUAUUGCCCCAUGUCCCCCCUUUUUGGCUUCAGUCAACUUAUAUCCCAUUUUGGAGUUUAGCUCUAACCCAUCGACAACAAUAUAAUGCACUCAGCAAGUGAACAGAAAUUGCAGUGAAGUUCACUUUGGAUGGCAGUUCGUGGUGAUGGAUGAGUCCAACAUUGCAGGUCUUUAAGCUGGACGCUGUGGUUUGAGUCCUAUCUAAACCAAAAAACACCAAACACCACAAAGACAAGACGUUUGGAUAAGUCACACCUCACCCUCUGCUUCACCUCUACUAACAAUGGCUGCCCAUUGGUAUAAAAAUCUGGACUUGCUGUAAUCUUCAGUUGUAAAUAAGCUGAUUGUCAGUUUUUCAGUUUAGUGUUGCACAUUGUUCUUGCCAUGAUACAGGUGUUUGAUAUCAGAGGAUGUGUCUGAUAAUGUUUUGGACUAUGUGGCCAUUAGACAUUAUGUGUCAUUGUGUAAUACUAUUAUGAGUGUAAUAUAGAAUACUAUUGUAUAAUACGGUAACACGUAAAGGGCCCGAUUUUCAUUUAUGAAAGAGGAGCCCUGCAGAAAAAGUCUACGAUCAACUGCCUGAUCACAAUCACACAUUUUUUGUGUCUUGGAAUUACAAAAUAGACCUAUGAAUGUUGAUCAGAUGAAAGAAAGAAAAUAAGACACUAACCCCAACUGACACUGGUCUUUCUACAUGCACUUUCUUUGCCAACAGGCCUUCUCCCGAACCGGAAGGCUUUUUUUUUUUAGUAGGAUCAACUUCUCAACCUCUUGGUCACUUCUUCGGGUUCUUCGUCAUGUUGCUACUAGCAGCGCUUCCCUCCCUUGUCGCUGUCAGGUAAAACCGAGUAGAACACAUUAUUUCUUGUGAGCCAGCGCAGGAAUGUCGCCCCUCCACACCAAAUACAAAAAUACCGAAAACUGAAAAAAAAUGCAAGUUGUUUGAGGAGCCGAACAGCUUAAUCAGCGUUGCAUCAUCUCCUAUUGUAGUGGCUUGGGUGAAACGGAUAUUUACAGAUAUGUAGAUCUUACACACUAUCGCUUUAACUUCACCAACAAACUGCCAUAGUGAGUGUAGUCAGGCCUUGAAUCAGUGGAUCAGAGGUUCAUAGAAGAGGUAGAUUCUGUAUUUAACGCAGGAAAUCCUGGGUCUCAUGGCUCCAGCUGUCCAAUAGUGCUCUGAAAAUGCAGCUAGUGGGUGUUAAUGAAGAAGGGAGCUCCAGACCAAACCAGAGUGGACACGGUUCAGAAAGUCAGGAAAGCUCUAAAGAGACACAGAGACUGUAGGAACAGUUAAAAGAGUUAGCAUUAAUUUUCUAGGGAGAACUGUGACAGUGUUACACACAAAACAUAUUAAAUCUUGGAUUUGGAUACCUUUACAUUUUUUUCUUUGGCCUUUGCAUGUUCUCCUGCCAUGUGUCAUUCAAAGCUGACCUUUAUUUUUCUUGUAAUCCCACACUGACUGACAAACAAAUGAACAUGGAGAAGUAGAAACUAGAGCCUCGCUUUGUGCUCUUCAUAAAAACCCUUUUUGUUCAGCAGAUUGUCCUCUCUUUCCCCUGGUUUUACCUUGUUUAUUUUGGUUGUCUUCAGGUGGUCUGUAUUUUUUCUUCUUGGCUAAACUCACAUAUGGUAACCCCCAUGCCGUCAAGUCUUGAGUUAGACUGUGAGAGAAUGUAAUCAAUCCACAACUAGAAUAUCACUUAUAGGUGCACUUUCUUAUGAUUGAAAUCUUGCCUACCCCUGUCUGACGUACAGGAAAGCCCAACCAUCUGGCAGUGAUGGUUUAAACAAAGAUUUAAACAUGACCCGGAUGAUUUGCAGCUACUAUUUGACCCAGUUCCUCCAGGUUUUCCUUUAGCUCCUUGUUCCCCUGCCAGAUGUUAACCAAAGCUAACUCAUGACAUUCAUCACACAGCGGAGGAGGUCUCUGGGGUGCAAGUAACUCCUCUUCCUCCUCUCCCAAUGUGAACUGUCUUAGGUCACAAAUUAGUUACAGUCGUGUAAUGGUGGUACAGAGAGGUUGAAAGCAGGUGAGACAUGAGGCUUUAUACGACUAGUCUCCAGGGAUAGAGGCUGAGGAUUACCAUUUUUGAAAGGAAACGUUUAUACUUCUUCAAAGUUGUCUCCAGGAAACAAGCAGUUUCUAACCCAUGGGAAGAAACAUGACAGAGAAAAGCACUUAUGUGUUUCUGAUUGUUUUUCUAAAGCUUUUAUUGUCUUUGGUUUAAAUAUUCUUUAACUGGAUAAAUUCCUUUUUUUUUGGGUAGCAACUGGAGGAAACAUCUGGUUUCGGUUUCUUGAGCGGCACUUAACAAAAUGAUACGUUUCAUUCAUUACCACUUUACUGCUCGAAAAUUUACAUAAAGUUCACUUAAGUUCCUCUCUGUUCCUGUCAGCCCUCCAGCCUCUGUCUGACUGUGGCUUCCUCAUAUCUGGCUUUAAUCAGUCUCUUUUGUCCAAACUGAGAGUUAUGUUCAGCGGGGUAACCCGAGGAUGACGGCCUCCCAGGGGCCUCAGUACUCCUCCAUCCUUGGGCUUUCCGCUCUGGCUUGAUGGCUGAAGUCUUCUUUUUGCACUCUCUGGCAGGUGGGCGCAGUAAAUGAGAAAACCAUCUGACACAGAGACAGAAAUGAGCUGACACGGCUUCAAACAGAGGGGAGGACAGUCUGAGGGCUUUUCCUGUAUGAAACAUUUAAAGCGAUUACCACCCGUGUGACAUCAAUGAUCAAGCUAAGAGUAAAGCUUACGUUUACUUCACAGCACAAAAUUUAAAUAGAAAAUGACAAUUGUUAAAAGGAGAAGUAUCAAAUCAGAUGACUCUGAUAAGGGCCAUCACAAUAUACCACUACCUUCUUUAAAAAAAUGAUUUUGUGCUACAAGUAAGCAUAUAACAACACCAUGUAAAUAAGUGGUUCAAUGAGGCAAGGCAGUUCUCUACACUGGUUGCCACCGGCCACUGGUCAUUUCAGACCAGGCUCAUUCAGGAACUGUUUGGUCCUUGUUUAGGAAAAGUGUCUGUGCAACAUUUGAAUAACUCUGUUUCAAAAAAUAAAGAAAAGGGGAAAGAAAAAAAAGAUAAACAAUUAAGAUGUUUUGUACGACGGAGUGUUAGGGCCACAUUGAGAAAAAAAAAGAAGACUUGGAGAUUAAAGUCAUUAACUUAUGAGAAUAAAGUCAUUACUAACGAGAAUAAAGUCGUAAAAAUGUAAUAACGAGAAUAAAGUCAUACUAAAAUCAUGACUUACGAGAAUAAAGUUGUAGUUAAAUCAUUACUUACGAGAAUAAAGUCAUAGUUGAGUAAUCACUUACGAGGGUAAAGUCAGAAUAAAGUCCUUGUACUCUAACCUGUCUUUAAGAGGACAAUAGUUGAAACGAGAGCCAUGAAGCACUUUGUAGAAAUGUACCUUAAUAUAGGUUUCUCAAAUAAGGAGAUACUUAAUCUUUUGGCACAUCAGCACCACAUUAUUAUAAGUAUCAUAAUGAUUUUAUUAUUAAUGAUUUUGUAGUUUUGUGUAUGUGGGUGUUGGAAACUGUAGAGUGGGGAAAUUUUGAUUUGAACUUAUUUUUAGCAGAAAAGUGCAUAUUGUUGAAAAGUUUUCUUUUUCUUCUGCAAACUAAAAUCCUAACAGGAUAAAAUAACACAUCGGAGGCUUACCUCACCCUGUUGGGAUUCCAUAUAAAAAUACCAAAACUUGAGCUGCCAUCAUACUUAAUGUAAGGAAACUUUCACAUCAUGUAUGCACUGUUAUUGUAGGAGCCAGAAGUGCCUGUGGAAUUGCAAGUUAGAGCAACUUCAGUGAGGCAUGUUUGAUGUUACCAUAAAUUAGUUGCCAGAGCAUUUAUACUGUAUGUUUCAAUUUAUGGUAGAUGGAUGUCCCAUUCAGGGCCUCCAUUCAUCUUAGGAUCUGACAGCAACAUGUCAUCUGGCCACUCUCCCCUUCAAUCUCCCAAUCAGAAGACAAUUUAAGACACCGGACCCCUCACCGGGCCCUGUUCUCCUUGCUGGUGAGUUAUCUCUCUGUGGCUGUUUCAGAGUACGUUUACACGUGCCUGGCUAUUUUCAUAAAUGGACAUUUCACCCUCGCUGUUUUAAAAAAAAAAACUGUGUGCACACAGCUACGUUUUCAGAAAAGGUUUCGUUUUCACUAACCUGUGUAUAUAUGUCAUCUAGAACAUACGAAGCAUGUGGGUGGCAGUGUAGCAAGAUGCUGAAGCCCACGUUAGCCAAUCAGAAUCUCGCAUAGCAUCAACAACAACAGCGUCCCUUCCAGUGUCCCCAGCGUUCCCGAAAUCUCUACUCUAGCCAGAGUUUUUAAAAAGCAUCGUUUUCAGAGGUGAAUUCUCUGUUCGGUCUACAUGAAGGGUACAUACGAUGGCUAAUGUGUCAGUUUUUAAAAAUAACUGGGUAUGUAUAAGCAGGGCCUUAAAGUGCUCCUAGACAUCACACUAAAUAAGGCUUACAUACAAAUUCCAGGACCACUCUAACCUACCUUAUGCCAUACAUACAGUCAGUAAAGCAGGGUAACAGUGGCCAGACACACUGGUCAACACCAGAGUUCAUCAUGCCAUGGGACACAACACUAGUGGCCACCACUUGGUUCUUCUUGCACAGCUGUAGUUACCAACUAGCUGUUGCAAGUUCAUGUUGAUGUCACAACAAGUUCAUAUGAAGCUAGCUAGAUCACUUAGAAGAAAUAUGCAUAGAUAAAGAUUGCCGACUGGAGCAACACAAAAAUUAUAACACCACAAUCGCAUGGGUGAAAACCAACAAAUGUUAGAGUUCAAGGGUUUAAAAUGUUAGCAGAAGAAAUUUAGUGCACUGUGCAAUCCCUCGGCAUUGAACAAAGUGUGGGAGAGCUGGAAAUCAUACUCUCAAUUGGUUUAACUUAAGUACUCCUCAUAAGUUCAUGACGUGCAACUGUAUUUUUAGACAAGUGCUCACAGUCAUUCUAUCUUUGCAGGGGAAAGUUUCACGGUCUUGGUUAGAAAAAGCAUAGACUAUUUUAAAAUAUGAGCAGUCGUUGGAUUUGUCUACUGUCUGUGAGUCAGACUCUGCAGUCAUCAUUCAUGAAUCACACUUUCUAAGCUCCUGAGUUGAGUGUAUCAGGCCACUGUGGCCGAGCAGAUGGGAAGCUUAGGCAUCAGGUUACCUGGUGAAAGAGUUAGUGGAGGCAAGAGAGACCACAUGGAAGUUUGACCUUACUCACUCUAUAUCUCCACAACAAUAGCAGUUUAUUGUGUUGCUAUGGACUCUGCAGAAGGUUGUCUUGGUAUCAUAAAGGCUGAGAUUUUGAGUCUAUAUGAUUUUAUUGAAUUAUUUGACUAAUAUAGUACCAUACAUCAGGUUUACCAAACCUGGGGCAUGUAACAUUUUUCUUUUGUACUCUUGGGAUUCACAUCUAAUAAAUUUCCCUUUGGGGAUCAGUAAAGUUUUUGUCUUGUAUUGUAUUGUAUAGACACCAUCAUGUUAGAAGUCAUUUUUAACUUCUCUGUGACUUAAGAAUCAUUUGUAUUAAGACAGCUACUCUUGGAGCAGAUCUUUCCACUUUCCUAAAAAUAAUAACUGUAAUAUUAGGUGAAUGUGAUCCGAUGCUGCUGUUGUUCUUAUAAUUGGUGACCACUGGAAUAUGCCAAAACCUCUCAGUUUCUGGACACAUUCAUGACCAAAAUCCAUAUCAGAUGCCUCUAGUAGGCGACGAUGUAACUUGCCCAACAGAGCUGGAAUGCAACCGUGACCAAAUGCGCCAAACAUGCAUCUUGUGCGUUUUUGUCUAUAAUGUCAGCAGUGACACCUUGUUAGCAUAAGCAUUUGGACUAACUGUAUCUACUCUAUCUUCUCUUGUCAUGUGUACCAUGAUUAUGUGGUUUCUUCUACAUUUCCUCCAGAAAUUCUAUGAGAUUAGGGGAAUUUUCAUGACAAAAUAACUUUUUUUAAAAGUCAAAUAAAAAAGUUCCCUUAAAACUUUGUUGUUGUGUUCAUAAUAAAAUUGCAUUUUUUUAUCUUCUGUGUGAAGUCUCAGGGUCAGUUUCAAUUGUCAAAGAAAAAAAUAAUUUUAGUAAGUCAUAUUUAAAAGGCUAAUAUAAGUAUGCUUUAAGAGCCUAAAGUUGCCAAUCCAACCAUGUAUUCUCAUGUAAGUUUAUUGAUUAUUCAACAAUUAUUUAUUAUUCCCUUUACUGAAUCUAAAACAACCCCCAUUCAGAACUGGUACUGCGCUGCUCAUUUUGAGCAGAAGGGUAAGUGAGUUACACAAGCAUAGAAAAAUGUUGGGUUGGCAACUUUAAGCUCUUAAAGCAUAUUUAUAUUAGCCUUUCAAAUAUGACUUAUUAAAAUUAUUUUUCCUUUUGUGUUAAGUCUGGGGGUCAGUUUCAAUUGUCAAAGGCAAAAAUAAUUCUAAUAAGUCAUAUUUGAAAGGCUAAUAUAAAUAUGUUUUAAGAGCUUGAAGUAGCCAACCCAACAUUUUUCCAUGCUUGUGUAACUCACUUAGCCUUCUGCACAAAAUGAGCAGUGCAGUACCAGUUCUGAAUGGGGGUUGCUUUAGAGUCAGUCAAGGGAAUAAUAAAUAAUUGUUGAAUAAUCGUUAAACUUACAUGAGAAUACACAGUUGAGGUAAAAUUAUCAAAACAAUUCUUAGAUUAUCUAAUAAUGAACGUUCACGGUUUCUUUGCUACUUUUUGCCCGCUGGCUAGUUAUUUCUUCAGCAAAGAAAGAAAGAAAAAGGUUUGUGUGUGUUUGCGUGUGUGUUUAAGAAAACUGUGUAUCCUCUUCUAAAGCUUCAGCUAGCAGUGCUUUGAUGUUGAGACUACAAACCCUGAGGGACUACAGCUAAAGACAAGACAUUUUCCUGCGUCCCACUAACCUAAAUUUGGAAUGAGGAAAAAAAACAACUAUAUUUAGACUUUAUUGAAAUUCACUGGGAAUGGUAAUGCAUGGAUCAACACCCCACAGCACAACAAUCCCUGUCAGGUAUUUUUUCCUGUUGAGUUCAAAGAGUGUUACACAGAGCCGGUUAUUUUCUGUGCAUCUUCACAUAGCUUUAGAGCAACUAUGAAAAGAAAAAUGUUUGUGUGUUACAUAUUGUGUGUUUUACAAACCCAUAAUGGAUGUAUGUCUUGGUGAUAAAUCUACGCAGUAUAACUAUUUCUAUAGGCUUCUUUUAUAUAGAAUUACAGAGCAUGUAAUAACUGAGAUCUGUCUUAUAUGAACAGUUGUUUUGGAAGCCAAAUGUUAAGGAAGAUGUAAAACCUUACAGAUUUGGGCACAGAUAGACGAUGCAAAGCCUCUUGUUUUCUUUAGUUAUUAUUUCUCUGUAGCCUCUUGUAUUCUUAUAGAUGCUCAUUAUUAUAACAGUAUUGUAGUUAUGGUCUUUAAACAGACUGCAACAGACCACAAAUGAAUCGUGAUCUUAGGGAAAUAAGAGUUCAUUACCUGUAGAUAAAAACAAAAUUUUGAGUCAGUUUCUCUCAUAAACACAAUGAUUUCAAUUCAGACCUCCCAAUAUCUUACAAUUCUUAGCUAGUUUGAUAAUCUUCACCUCAGAAUUGUUCCAAUAAUGAUAUCAGUGUUACCUUUGAUAAUGCAAGAAUGGGUAGUGGCAAGUACACCAAUCCAUUCAUCAGAGAGCACUAAUUUCUGCCCUGAAUAAUGUCAUUUUGUCAGAAAUCAUUUCUACUUUCCUCUACAAUGCACCCAAAUCAGAAACCUACACUGCCUCCAAACUAUGCUUGACUUCUGGUAGGUUUAUUUUGGCUCUCUGUGAGUAAUAUGACAAGAUUCUUUCAGUAAACUAUCCUUUAAUAACAUUUGUUAUAAAUUUGCCCCAUGGAAAUAAUGAUAAAGAUAUUAUGCUGUUUUCAAACCAUGGAAAUACUUACAGGUGUAACUUACAUUUCAGAGCAUCUACAUUAAAAGUUGGUGAUUUUGCUUUGUGCCUUUAGUCUGUCGGACACAUUAGAGAUUGAGGCAGCUGUAAAGGUGAUGCCUAACUUUAGGUACGAGUAUCUGUUAAAGGAACAACAGAAUGCAGGACAUCAUCUACUGCAACAUAUACUUCAUUUGCAGGAUACUGAUUGUGGUGUUAAGGAUUUUUGUGCCUUGGUUAAUCCUGUUGUUAUUGGCAACAAACGGCCAAUUUGGCAAUGUAGCCCUUUAAGAUGUGAUUUCAGACGUCAUUCAGAGCGUAGAUAUGAAGUAGUAUAGACCCACUUUUGCUUUGUAAGGGCAAAAUGCAACUGACUGACUAAAUACUUAUGUUUUGAGUCCAGUCUGUUAUUUUGUGUUGUGACCACAUCUUUGAAAGUUGGAAUUAAAAGUAAAGUCAAGUAAAACAGCAUUACUUUUCAAAGAUCAAAAUGGAGUGCUUUACUGGCAUGAAAUGUCAGCUAUCAGCAGUCAAGAUCCAGACAUAUGGGCUCAGCAGCAAUAAGGAUGGUCUCCAAAGUGUCGUAUAACCUGAGCCGUACUGGCUGUGUACAGCUUGUAUGUAGUUUUAUUUAGUUUCUUAGAAGUUUUUAUGUGAGCCUCUGCUGUUCUUACACAUGGUGCUGAUAUACAAAGUUUUUGUUUUCACAGAUCAGAGAAUAAGGUCGGAUGCGAAUAACAUAUUGAAGUCACAUGUAUGUAGUUAAAUGAAAGUAAAAGUGCAAACUGACAUUAAGUUUUGUAUGGCAAGCCCCUUACUGAUUCAAGUAUGAUGAAAAAACAAACUAACAAGUAAAUAAAUAAAUAAACUGUUGGGUAAGUUUAUAGUCAGCUUGAAGUACCAAAAGUGUCCUUUUCCAGCACAAGGCUUUAUAGUGUUUAUCAUUAGCAAAGAUGGCCAUUUUCUGUGAAGUCAGGACCUAAUGCAUACCAUCAUCAAUGCCAAAUGAAAAUAUGAUAUUUAAAUGAGCAUUAUACAGAGAUUUUCAGUUUUUGUUGUCAUGGUACGAUUCAUUUAGCCAACUUUUGCUACGUUCACACUGCAGGUUAUGAUGCACAAUUCAGAUUUUUUGGUUAAAUCUUUUUGUGCGGUCGUUCACAUUACAAAAACGAAUGCGGCAUCUAAUGUGAACGGAAUGCGUCCGUGCGCAUGUUUGUGUUGUCGAACAAUGGUGGUUGAUCAGAAAUCCAUGUCUAUUGAUUGUGGCAGAGAUUUUGCACACCAGGAAAAUCUGUGGCCACAGAGAAGUUUUUUAAUUAUGAUAUUCAGGAGCAUAUCAACAGGGAUGGCAAAGGGUGGCACUGGCCCCAAAAUCCAAAUAACCAAUGCUAUCAAUGGCUAUUUGCCUUGUUAGGGACAAGGAACAGCUGAACAGCUGUGUGAUAUGCACAUAAUAAAGUAGGCAAUGAAGACCUAGAGGGCAAAUGCAGUUAAUUUAUAUGUGAGGCACUGCCUAUGUCAGUGCCCGAGUUAUACCUCUCUCAUCAAAAAGUCUGAACAUACUCCUGGUCAAAUUAGUAAAAACAGAAAGAAAUAUAAAUUUAAGGAUAUAAUUAAUGAUUGUCAUUUCACAAAUUGUGAGUAAUGAGAAGAAUCUGAGUCACAGUUUGACCUCAAAAGUAGCACUAGUAGUCGUCUCCGUUGAGGAUUUUAAACAACCUCAUGAGCCGAACGGCAUACCUCUUGCAUCACAAAUGUUCUCUCUCCUAUUCAGGCGAUCCCCAUCAGGGAAAUGCAUGGUGGGUAAUUUAUUUUAACAAAUGACCAUCUGCUUGGCCGGUUUGUGUCAGGACACCAAUGACCCACAGUACUUGGGUUGAACAGCAAAGGCUGCUGGGUCUUCCACAUUUGACAUAAGGUAGAUAAAAUCUCAGGGUAGAUUUUUUUACACUCCGACUUUAAAUUCUAUAAUAUUGCUACAGAGAAUAAUACACAUGUGGUUGUAUCAAUUUAGUUUUGUGACAUAAAUCUUUCAAACUGAAGUCUCAGAGGCUUUUAUUCAUGUGAACUAAUGGUGCUUGGCUCAGUUUCAGUCAAAGGCACACAGCACAAGGGCACAGUGUCUGACUUUUAAGCCGACUGCCAGAGGCGUGUUUUGUGUGAGUGGUGCAGAUGGAAAUGGGCGGAAUACAUUUUCAGGCGGUGGUGUCAGCCUGGCAUCAACCUUGAUUGAUCAAAUCACCUGUUUCUUUUCAAUUAAAAGCAGUGCAUUUAAAAUCACACAGUGAUCUAGGACAAAAGCAGACCGAGAGGCACUCUAGAUACUUCUGAACGUACAAUGUGUGUCAACUACGAUACAGAGCUUAUCUAUGCAGGAUUAAUCCGUGUAUGAUUAGGAAUUUUAAACUACUUUCAAACAUUAUCUGUGCGUUAUUUGAACAUCAUCAUCGAGAGCAUGAUGAAGUUUUUUCUCUUAAUAUUAGAUGUCUUGAGGCCCAUGACAAAUUUAAGCAGCUGUGCUUUGACCGCAACAACACUGCUAUGCUAAUAUGAUGUCAUUUAUUAUUCUGACAUAUUUUAAGAUAAUACACAAAGAGUGUGUCUUUGUUUGGUAUUUGGUUGCGCUCAUGUUUCCUUGAUAGUUUAAUGUAAUGUGUCCAUUUAACAUGAUCCCAGCUAUCCCAGCUUUGUCUUAUUUACCUCUUCAUAUCCUUAUAAAAUAAAACCUUUUAACCCUCUUUAAUCAGCUUCAAACCUCUGUGUUUGUCUGUCUGGGCUUUUUUAUGUGGGGUCAGACUUCAGUCUUUAAAGUAGUAUCUGGUGUCAAACAAGCUUGCAUAAUUAUUAAACCAGUCAACCCAAACCCAGACUGCUAUCAUGGCUUAAAACACACAUUUUUCUUGUAUUACUGAAAUUAAAAAUACAGUUCUCGUGCUGUGUUCGAGUUACCUUGGAAGUCAGAAGUCCGAGCUGGGAAUGAUGUCACACCCGAGUUACCAGCCAGGUCGGAAGAAAGCAAAAUCAGAGGCGGAAACAAGAUGGCUACAUCUACACAAGUUAUUUUAGCCCUUGCCUGAAUAUAAGCAAGGACAAGAUAAGCGCUUAAAUAACUUUCGUAGAUGUAGCCAUCUUGUUUCCGCCUCUGAUUUUGCUUUUUUCCGACUCGGUAACUGAAACACUGGUAACUUGGAUGUGACAUCAUUCCCAGCUCUGACAUCUGACUUCGGAGGUAACUCGAACGCAGCAUUAGUGUUGAAGUCAAAGUGACAGGAAGAUGACAUCUACACUGUGUGAAUCAUAUGAGAUGAGAUCUUGGCAUUUUUGCCAUUUAAUGAUCAACAAACUACUGCACAAAUGUUUUGAAUGCUUAGUCUUAAAUGCUGUGUCCUUUUAGCUCUUGGGACCUUGCAGUUUAUUGGGUUGAGAGUUUUAUAACACCAGUUGCUUGAAGCCAACCAUGUAUGCGUGUGUGUGUGUGUGUGUGUGUGUGUGUGUGUGUGUGUGUGUGUGUGUGUGUGUGUGUGUGUGUGUGUGUGUGUGUGUGUGUGUGUGUGUGUGUGUGUGUGUGCGAAACUUGACCUUGCCUCUGUAGUGAAGAACAGCAGCACAGGUGUGUAACAUGAUAGAUGUGAUCCCCUUACUAGAACGCCCACAGAUUAGCCGAGCCUUUUGGACAGCCGGAUUUCUGUUGUAAUGACUGAGGAGAUGGAUGGACCAGUUUAGUCAUUCGUCAUGUCAAAGAAUAAAAUACAACGCCAUGAAGUUGUCAAAGAAUCUCAGGCUGGGUGAUAAAAAGUUGGUAAAAGGUAACAGAAGCUCAACCAUAUCAAAGUGGUAGAUGUAUCAUCUUCCAACUGUGUGAUUUUCUUGUUCUUUUUUCUUGUUUUCUUUGUAGAUUAAAGGAGCGGUGUGAAUGGCUUUGAGAGGUAUUUAUCUCUCUCCUCACUCCUCAACCUUUGAACUAUGUCAGUGAACCUGAAGUGGCCAUGAAAUGUGGACAAAAGGCUCCAUACAGACUACUUUACAAGAAAGCAAUUUGAGUUUUUUUUACGGCCUGUGAAAACACCGAUCAUGUGUGUCUGUUGGGAGGUGGGGGGUUGAUGUACAGUGAGCUGGUAGGUGUGCUGUUUAGAGUAGACCUGGGUGGUGAAGUGAAGCGGUCCCAGAGCCUUUGUACAGGACAAAUAACGCCUCAUUUCCACUUGUGUGUAUGGUGUGUAUAAAGGCAUGAACUAAGGGUCAAGUUAAAAUAUGAGCCUGCUUAUUAAUUAUGAUUCAUAUUCAAGUAAACAUUUCCAUUGCAAAGUGAUUUAAUAAGGUGAACAGGAUUUCUGCAGGAGUAAUUAUGUUGGCAUUGCUGUUCUCAUUCCGGUUAUUCUACUUUGAAGCGAACUUGGGCUGACUGCUUGAGGCAUAAGCUCAGUGUAUGUGGUACGCACUCAGACUGCAGGGCCAGCGGCGCCCCUGGAGUAGACGCUUCUGAAGAACUUUUAAAAUAUUUGUUGUUUUCACACCCACUCUUUGCAUUGAAUAGCAACUCAAGGAUACAUUUGUGAUUCUGCUGCCAUUGCCUGGAUUGUAGGAUAGGAUGUUUCUCCCUUGUUCCUGUUGAGCGAUGAUCUGGAUCCUCCUCAGGCUGCCUUUACAUCCGUGUCCACCAACUCUUAUUUUCCCAUCCUAAACACUAGCCAGAGUGAAGAGAAGGGAAGCUGUGGUCCUUGAGUCAUUCUCGCCUCAAAAGCCCAGCUGCCUGGCUGAUUUAAGUAGGGUGGCCAUAUUCUGAAUCACCAAGACGAGGAGUCACAGAGUCCAUGCAUAGUUAAUUUUGAAAGUUUUCCGGGUCAGAUUAAGUGUUCUUUACACGCUUCCAACUCAGUAAGUCCAUGGGUCACGAUCUCAAAACUUCCAUACAAAACCCCGGACAUUUGAAGGAUUUUAUAAACUUCCCCGGACAAAGUUGGACAAGGCCAGACAGCCCCCCAAAAAGUGGGUAAAAGAGGACGUAUGGUCACCCUAAUUUAGGGAACCAACAAACCACUAAUGUUUUUGUCUUAAACAGAAACAAAUGCUCACAGAACCAAAUGUUUUACCAUAGUGUCAACAGGCAGAGGGGAACUGCGCCUCUCUUCUGUGGAUUGAUUUGAUAUAACCAGUGUGAUCCGGUUGCGUCACAAAUUGUGAGUGAAAAUUUGUGUUACAAACAACUUUUUGCCUCUGUUGUGGUGAUCACAGUAAACACUUCCAGUAAAAUCAAUGAAAGGCAAGUCAAUGGUGGAGCGACAUGGAAACUUAACUAAUAAACACAACUGACUUACUCACAUGUUAUCACACAUUUCUAAUGAUGUUGAAAGUUAUAUUCUAUCAGUGUGACAAAAAAACAGCAACUACUCUUAAUUAGACUCAAAACCCAAAUUUUAAGAAAAGCCUACUCUGUAAUCACUUUGUUCCAUUUUAUACCGUGUUUGCUUUUAUCUGGUUGUUUUAUCGAACUGUUUUUAUCUGUAAAGUGAUCUUAAAUGUUGAGAUAGGGGCUUAUAAACAAAAUAUAUUAUGAUUAUACCAAGGAUUCUACUAUGAUAACAUCAUCCCAACCCUUAUUGUCAGUUAACGGUACAACAAAAAAACACACUUUUCUGUCCAUGAUUCUGUCUGUAAAGCCCAUGGUCCUGAUUAUGCAAAUUAAAUGACCUGUAAAAGAUGCUGCAUGCCCAUUUUUAUGAUAAAAAGAUUCAGUAUCGCUUUUAGCUGAGUGUAGUUAGGACAUUGUGGACCAAUCGAAGUGUUAGGACUGUGAGUACAGGGAGAAAUAACCAGCCUGACUCUGUCCACCUAUAAAAAUGAUAUACCACAGCACACCUCUGAAUUAUUCAGAUGCUGUUUACAGUUUGUUUCAUCCAUUAUCAGCAUAUUGAUAUGUACUUGUUUUUUGGAGUAGCUGACUUUGUGGCUAAAACCAGCUGAGAAUAAUAACAGCGAGCAGCUUCCAAGAAAAAAAAAGAGAUUUUCAGGGUUGGCAACCUUGACGUAAAAGAAUCAGUCUUACCACCUUCAAUGGCACAGUUAAACCUAAGUGAAUCAUAAAAGUUUAUCAAUGUAAGCUGUGGUGAUGACUGUAAGUACUUACAUCAGAUGGUGUUGAGGCAGUCCAUGAGCCAGAGAAGGUCCUUCAUUGCUUGGUACAAUUAUGUUUUUGAUAAAACCCCUAAAAGAUUUCAGGUAAUCUCAAAAGCUAAAUCAAAAAGAGGAUAAUUCUUAUUAUGCUUCACAAAAGCUUUUUUGUCUUUAGAGCCGCAUUUAGAAAUUUGCCACAGUGAUUAUUUUAUGUGCAAAAUGAAGUUUGGAGUAAAAUACUGAUUUUGCUAUAUUUUGCCUCAUAACUUUAAAAGCAAACUUGUGUAUAAAUUACUUUCCAGAAGUCUGAGUUCUGUCCUUGGAGGUUCCGGUACAAACGCUUAAAUCUGGAUAAGUGUUUUUGUCUUAUUUCUGAGCAAAAGCUUUUUUGUUAGACUAAAUAAAGGAUAUAUUCAACUAACCGGGUCUGUGGUGGCCUCAACCACCAUAAUAAAUUUGUUUCAGUUUAGAAGAAUCACAUUACACACUUUUGUGGUUGAAAUAAAUUUGCUUUCAUUGCAUUUAUGGUAGUUGUUUUCUAACUUGUGUGCACACAAUUCAAUUAACAAAUUGUCACAUGGUUUGAUUUGAGUUUAUGUCAUUUCAAAGUAAUUCUUACCGUUUUGUUCGUCUUUGCUCGAGCUCACCUGACGAAAGGCUGACUGCAGCUCCAAAAUGGCCUCUUAAGCCCUACCAACAGGAAGUGGGACAGACCAUCAAGGAGGAAGCAAGGAGAAGCUCAGACUCUUGAUUCUUAUAGAACUUUUGUCUUUAUUCUUUCAUUUAGACUACAGUAUUUUUUUUUUGAUGGUGUUUUUCUGAGUUUGUUAGAUGUUUAGUUUGUAGUCUCCUUAGUUUCCCCCUUGUGUUUGUGUUGGAUUAGUCCUUUCUCUAUUUAAACCCCUGACACGUAUCACUCAGCAGGUCUGUUUGAUUAUGUUUGUCAGGUUGUAACUUUCUUUUUUUUUUUUACUGGGUUAACUCGUUUUAGUGUGGUCUCAGAUUUUGUUGAUUUUCUACCACAUUAAGUUGAAAAUUUUGUUAUUGAUUUCUCUUUUUUUUUGUGAGUAGAAUUAACGGAUCAAGAUCUUUUUCCUCACCUUUGUCCUUUGCCUGGUUGCUUGGUCCCUUACAAAGUCAAACACUUUAGAAAUAUUACAAGCUGAAAAAAAAUAGGGAUAAUUUCUUGUAUUGAGUAAAACAAAAAGCAACAAGAGCAAAUUAGAUCAGAAAAACUUAGUCAAAUUUUAUUAAAAAAAACAAAACAGACAAAUUUGACAUGUUAUCUUUUUACCAUGAUGCAGUUAUUAGUCUUGUUUUGCAACGAUAAAUAAGAGAUUGGAUCUCCUUUUUUGUAAGAGUCAUCUGAUUUCAUGAAAAGUGGCUCUGUCUACACUGUAAUGAUGUUGCCAAUUUGCACUUAGAUCAUGUCGGUAAGAUGUUAUAUUACCUUUGAGAGUGUAAUUACACUUGUCAGAUAUUUCAGAGUCUUUGUAGAAGCUGUGAAUGCCUGAGCUGUGUGGCGUGCAGAAUUAAUCACUAAAGAAUGAACACAUAGUGCUACUCUGCAAAGACACUAGGGACAUCUGUCAUUCAGAUGAGGAUGAAUGUAGGUCACCGUUUCUAGUGUCUUUGCUUAGCAGGGGCCUGAUUAAAGCAGCAACCUAUGGCCUAAGAUCUCUGCCCAGCCAUCUCUGCCAAGUUACACAACAUUUGACUUUUUUUUUUUUUUUUUCAGCUCUGAAGGCUGCGUGAUCCUAUAUCCCCCUGUCACCCUGAAUCCUUGCGCCGCGCCUCCUCAUCUACCACUUAAAAAAGCAGAGAUUGGAUUACCCAACUGUCAAUCAAUCAUCGGGGUGAUGAUACAAGCCCACCAUGAAACAUCCCAAACAGAUGGCCAGCCACUACCACACGCUUGCACCCCCACCCGGCCCUAACCCGGACCUAGUCCCUUGGUAAGAGACUGUAAGCUUCUUAGAUUUUUUUUCAUGCUUCUCACUAAUUUAGGUCUUUUCAUCAAAGCGAUCGUUGUGAUAUUAUUUGUACCUACAAUAACACUCAUGAUGCCUCCCUGUGCUCCCAAGUCAACACCUCUCAUUCUCUCAAUUUACAACAUUUAAUACUUCUGCAACAGAUGAGAAAUGUGCGAAAAUGUCUUAAUGAGUUCAUUAAUCCGUGGGUGUGCUUAAGACAAUAGCAUGCCAGGGGGCUGAGCGAUGGGUGUAUUUUAGGGCAGGGCAGCGACCCCCGACACCCAGGCCGGCAGGCAGCGGAGGAGGAGGCUGAGCCAGAGCAGGUGUCUCUGCUGACAUCUGCUUCAGUUCACUGGGGAAACACAAGCACCCUGCAGCUACAGCACUGACAAUGCCACUGAAGUGCCCAGGCUCCGUCUAAACAAGGUAGACUUUUUUCCACUUCUUCUUACAGCGCUGGGAUCAGCACUUUAGAAGCUGAUCCCUCAUUUGUACCGUUUUUAAAGGAUUUCUAUUUGAGGUUUUUCAGACAUUUAACAGUGUUUGCCCUUUUUCUGAUGGAGAUAUUUUACCGCAUUUGAUAUUUUGAUACCGCAUAUUUCAUACUUGGUUGUUCACUCAUUGGUCUGUCUUGCUUUUGACACUUUUCUGCGUUCCAUGUUUUUUUGCAAUGUGGCGGCUUAAUCCAUGAAAAAAAAAAGAGGCAUUUUUUAUGUCACAUAUUAAGAGGAUUCGACCCAGAUCUCUUACAAACAUUAAAGGAAGAAGUCUUUGGAUGUUCAGUCUCAUGCAAUAUUGAUGCUGUCAUGUUUACUCAUCAACCCACUUUCCUCUGAAUCCAAUCAGGCUGACAAGACAAACCCACAAGGCUGUUGAUUCAGAGGCGCUAUCGAUCCAAGUUUGCGUUCCACUGACCUGAGUGCAUUUUUAAAGACUUUGUUGUGUAAUCAAAGGCUCUGUGGAUCCCCUCUCUCCUCCCUGACCUGUGCUUAGCAGAUAUAGCAGAUGUCGCCUAUAUUUUGUUCUCGCAGCUUCUAUAUACAGCACUGACAGGCUUUUUCAUUAAAUUGGAUGUUUGCACUAAUCGGACAUUGAUUCUGCUGUGAGCUUCUCAAACAAUAUCUUAUUAUAGGAUAAAAUAUGAC